CUUAGAAAGGUCUUAAACUAAAUAAAAUGAAGACAAUUGGAAUCGGAAGACUCUCAACGGAAAGGACCAAACAACUAAGAAAGCUUAUGAACCUGUCCUUUUCCCUCCACCAUUUGUGCAUUUUAGCAUCCCCACUCCCUCCCACUUACUCUCACUUUCUUAACCUGCGCCGCCAACCACGAUCAUCUUCAAUUUCUCUCUCCUCCAUUAGGAUGAGCUCCACCAACAAUGGAGGAAGCAUUACUAGCAGUACGAGUGAUGUUACCGUUGCUGAAUUGGAGUCAAUUUUCAAGCAGAAACGCAUGAUUAGAUCCAAAGUCAGGAAAUCCCUUAAAGAGAUGGACCCUUCUCAGCGAACCCUUGAAGAUGAUGCAAUUCAACACUUAGUUCUGGAUGCUCCAUGGUUUAAAUCAACCAGAAGGUUAUGUGCGUACAUAAGUUGCCAUGCCUUGCGAGAAGUUGAUACAUCUAAAGUUUUGGCACAAAUCUUACAGAGUUCAGACAAAGACAAACCGGGACUUGAAGGGAAAACUCUUUAUGUGCCAAGAGUGGAGGAUAAGAAUAGUCAUAUGCGGAUGCUCAAUAUCUCCAGUUUAGAUGAUUUAAUUGCUAACUCAAUGGACAUCCUGGAACCUGCACCGGUAGAUAGUACAGGAAAUCCACGUGAAGAUGUUAUGCAAGCAAGCGAAGCAGUCGACCUCUUCCUUUUACCCGGACUUGCAUUUGACAAAACUGGUAGACGGUUGGGUCGUGGUGGAGGGUAUCUUCCGUCUUUAAUGUACUAUGACACAUUCCUAAGUAAAUACCGGAAGCUAGCUGAUAAGCAGAACUGGAAAAAACCGUUGCUAGUUGCUCUGUCAUAUUCUAUUCAAAUAUUGGAUGAUGGAGUCAUUCCCAUCACUCCUAAUGAUGUUGAUGUCGAUGCUUUAGUAACUCCGUCUGGUGUUAUUCCGGUUAGCGCAGCUGCACGUCAAAGGAUGGAGUGUGACAUAUGACUUUUCAUGGCAUCCCGUAAUCAUUUCUAACCGUUGUAAUAGAAUAUUUGUCGGCAACAUGGCCUUUUCUGUUUGUAUUGGUCGAUUAACAUUGUGGCUCUGUUUGGUAUCGCUGCAACGCAAGAUCUUAUUCAUGGCCUUCUCUUAAAGCCUAUAUAACAAGCAAUUUUCUCAUUUUGUGGAAAAUUUUAUGCACAACCCAACUCUUCUCCGUCAUUUGCUAGCUUCCCAUGCAAGCCAACGUCAAAUGUGACCUCCGAUGGCUUCUUCUUCAAUGGGUUUAUGAAUGAGGGUGAUACGUCUUCUAAUCCAUUUAUAUCGAAGGUCACACCUGGGAAUGUUCUCACAUUUCCCGGCCUUAACACACUUGGAACUUCGAUGAACCGAGUUGAUCUUGCCAUCAACGGUAUGAACCCGCCACACUCCCUUCCACGCUCAAGUGAGGUCGUGUAGUGAUAUUGGAAAAGUUUUAGUUGGGUUUGUAACAACCGAGAAUGUGUAUUAUACUCUAAGGUGUUGAUUCCGGGUCAGAUGUUUGUCAUCCCGAGGGGAUUGGUUCAUUUUCAAAAGAAUGUGGGAGAAACUAGAUCCUAGCAUUAUUCAUCAAAUAGAAUCCAAAUUUGGAUAAUUUGGAAUUCACUACUAUAAAUAUUCUUAAAUUGUUUUAUCCUAAUGAUUUUGUUUUAGUAAAGAUUCAAGCUUUAUGCUUUGUAA